GCGCCUGUAGCUCAGCUGGAUAGAGCGGCAGCCUCCGAAGCUGUAGGUCGCAGGUUCGACUCCUGCCGGGCGCACCA
rnacentral:tRNA from 1 species